rnacentral:rRNA from 1 species
UACGAGAGGCCCAAACGUUAUUCGGAUUUACUGGGCUUAAAGAGUUUGUAGGCGGUUCGGUAAGUGAGAUGUGAAAGCCCUCGGCUCAACCGAGGAAUUGCGUUUCAAACUGCCGGGCUCGAGGGAGAUAGAGGUGAGCGGAACUGAUGGUGGAGCGGUGAAAUGCGUUGAUAUCAUCAGGAACACCAGAGGCGAAGGCGGCUCACUGGGUCUCUUCUGACGCUGAGAAGCGAAAGCUAGGGGAGCAAACGGG